rnacentral:rRNA from 1 species
GAUGAACGCUGGCGGCGUGCUUAACACAUGCAAGUCGAGCGAUGAAGUUUCCUUCGGGAAACGGAUUAGCGGCGGACGGGUGAGUAACACGUGGGUUACCUGCCCCAUAGAGUGGAAUAGCCUUCCGAAAGGAAGAUUAAUACCGCAUAACGUUGAAAGAUGGCAUCAUCAUUCAACCAAAGGAGCAAUCCGCUAUGAGAUGGAGCCGCGGCGCAUUAGCUAGUUGGUGGGGUAACGGCCUACCAAGGCGACGAUGCGUAGCCGGCCGGAGAGGGUGAUCAGCCACAUUGGGACUGAGACGCUGCCCAGACUGCUACGUGAGGCAGCAGUGGGGAAUAUUGCACCAUGGGCGAAACCCUGAUGCAGCAAUCCCGCGUGAGUGAUGAAGAUUUUCGGAUCGAAAAGAUCUGUCUUUGGGAAACAUAAUGCCGGUACUCAAGGAGGAAGCCACGGCUAACUACGUGCCAGCCGCCGCCGUAA